rnacentral:rRNA from 1 species
CCUACGGGGGGCUGCAGUCGAGAAUCUUUCACAAUGGGGGAAACCCUGAUGGUGCGACGCCGCGUGGGGGAAUGAAGGUCUUCGGAUUGUAAACUCCUGUCAUGUGGGAGCAAAUUAAAAAGAUAGUACCACAAGAGGAAGAGACGGCUAACUCUGUGCCAGCAGCCGCGGUAAUACAGAGGGCUCAAGCGUUGUUCGGAAUCACUGGGCGUAAAGGGUGCGGAGGCGGUUUCGUAAGUCGUGUGUGAAAGGCGCGGGCUUAACCCGCGGACGGCACAUGAGACUGCGAGACUAGAGUAAUGGAGGGGGAACCGGAAUGCUCGGUGUAGCAGUGAAAUGCGUAGAUAUCGAGAGGAACACUCGUGGCGAAGGCGGGUUCCUGGACAUUAACUGACGCUGAGGCACGAAGGCCAGGGGAGCGAAAAGGAUUAGAUACCCUAGUAGUC